AUACGGAGGGGGCUAGCGUUGUUCGGAAUUACUGGGCGUAAAGCGCGCGUAGGCGGAUCGUUAAGUCAGGGGUGAAAGCCCGGAGCUCAACUCCGGAACUGCCCUUGAUACUGGCGAUCUCGAGUCCGAGAGAGGUGAGCGGAAUUCCUAGUGUAGAGGUGAAAUUCGUAGAUAUUAGGAGGAACACCAGUGGCGAAGGCGGCUCACUGGCCCGGUACUGACGCUGAGGUGCGAAAGCGUGGGGAGCAAACAGUAUUAGAUACCCUUGUAGUCC
rnacentral:rRNA from 1 species